rnacentral:rRNA from 1 species
UACGUAGGGUGCAAGCGUUGUCCGGAAUUAUUGGGCGUAAAGAGCUCGUAGGCGGUUUGUCGCGUCUGCUGUGAAAACUCAGGGCUUAACUCUGAGCUUGCAGUGGGUACGGGCAGACUAGAGUGCGGUAGGGGAGACUGGAAUUCCUGGUGUAGCGGUGAAAUGCGCAGAUAUCAGGAGGAACACCGGUGGCGAAGGCGGGGUCUCUGGGCCGUAACUGA